AUGGAGAAAGUAAUUUUCUUCUGUAUUUUUUCUUGCUGGAUUACGCAAACAGUUUCCACUGAUGUUUCAGAACAUGAUGUAAGAGUCCAGCUUAACAAAAGCAUCAGCUUGAACUGCAACAUGACUGACAGAUAUGAAAUUGCAUGGUUUCACCAGUAUUCUCAACAACUAAAUCAACUGCUAUCUGCAAAGAUUAGCAGCGCAUCAGGAAGACUUCUAGUUAUGUACAAUCAAAACUGGAGUCAUCUGGACAUCGAGGAUCUUCGUGGAGAUGUGGGGAUCACCACAGUCAUGCUAGUUAUCUCUAGAGUAACAGAGUCAGAUUCAGGUCUUUAUUUCUGUGGUACAAAAUCAGAAACUUCUUCAAAGAUGCACUUUGACAAACCCAUCAGACUACAGAUUGAAGGCAAGCUGACAGACAGAGAGGACAAAACUCAUGAUGUCACAGAUCCGACAGAGGAUGUUGAGAUCACAGAUGGAGUGACUAAAAAAGAGAGGGCAUUGAUGUUUGGUGGUGUCGGUCUGGCUGUGUUAGUGUUUUUUCUGGCAACAGUCAUCGCAGGUCGAAUCAUUCACUAUCACGGUUGGCAGAAAGGAUGGGCCGCAGCCAAACGCUCAUCUCUCUUGAAUCACAAAUCAGCUAAAUGAUUUAUGGUUUUUCUGAUAGUCUAACUCAGUAAAUUCCUAAAUAAUGCUUUGCAUUGCUAGGUUACCACAAAUUAAAACAGAAAAUUGUGGCUCAGAUGCUUUUCCUGUUGACCUCAUCUACUCUCACUUCAGGGAAGCUGAUGUUGUGGCAAAUGUUGUCUUUUUUCAGCACCAGUUGAAUUUAAAUAUUAAUAGUUGUGGUUAUUACUCUGGUCUGUGUGGUUAAUUUGUGCUUGUCAGUAAUAUUUAGUAAAAUAUAAAAGACUGCUACUCUCACUGUCCUUAAUGCAGUAUGUAUUCAAUUUAAAAUAUAAACAAGCCGUUUUACGCAUCUGUUGUUAUAUGUAGAGAAUAAGUUCAAAAAGAACAAUCAUAACCAAACAUAUGCUUGAAUAUUAUUAUUUCUGUGUCUAGCUGUAUUUUCACAUUAUAUAUAGACUAUUUAUCCAAAGGAGUAUUAAUAUGUACAUCUAAGAUGGGUUCCAGAGAAAAUGCCAUUUAAUAAAAAAUGUCUUUGUUGAGAAUUCUAAUCCAAUCCAAACAGCAGGAGAAUUACGAAAUUAUAUGUCUGUGCAUUUUCUGUCAGAAAAUAAAAUCAUCAACCAUAUAAUAUAUUAUUAAGAGAAUUACAUGAAAACAUUUAAUGAUUUAUUUCUUAAAGCACAAAAUUAAAAAUAACAAUAAAAUUAUUCUAAUUAUUGUUUUAUUCUUAAAAAAGCAUUAAUUGUAAAGCUUGCAUAUGUGUCAAAUUAGGAAAGAUAAAAAAUAUGGAUGUUCAAUUGUAUAUUUUGUACCAUUUUCUUUAUAAAUAUGUGUGUUUAAAUAUUUUUUCUAUUUAAUGUGGCAUGUGUAAGAGUGUCUUCUGAAGUGACUUCAUUAUCAUCAUCUGCUGGAGAGUUUUUCCAAACCACUGUUUUGUCUGGUAUUUGAAUUAUUAUUAUUGGUAAAUCUGAUUUGAAAGAGAAU
ensembl:lncRNA